GGCUUCACAGCUUCCCAAAGUGCAGGUAGUACUAGACUCUAUCCGUCUAGCUGGUUUAAUUGCUAACCUAUGUAAGUGUACUAUAGGUUUGGAAGAGGCAAAAUAUCUGGGUUAUUUGAUUGGGAGAGGGCUUGUUAAGCCCCAAAUAGCAAAAGUGAAGGCCAUACAAAAUUGGCCACGCCCCCUCACUAAAAAGCAAGUCAGGACUUUCAUAGGACUUAAUGGGUACUACAGGCGAUUUUAU